GAUGAAGAACGGAGCGAAAUGCGAUAAGUAAUGUGAAUUGCAGAAUUCAGUGAAUCAUCGAAUCUUUGAACGCACCUUGCGCUCCUUGGUAUUCCGAGGAGCAUGCCUGUUUGAGUGUCAUUAAUAUAUCAACCUCUUCAGCUUAUGCUUGUUGAGUGUUGGAUGGUGGGGGUUUGCUGGUGUCUUAUGAAGUCAGCUCCUCUGAAAUGCAUUAGCGGAACAAUUUGUUGACCGUUCAUUGGUGUGAUAAAAAUAUCUACGCUAUUGACGUCAGUCAGUUCAGCUUCUAACAGUCCAUUGACUUGGACAAAUUUUUCAUUAAUGUGACCUCAAAUCAGGUAGGACUACCCGCUGAACUUAAGCAUAUCAAUAAGCGGAGGA
rnacentral:misc_RNA from 1 species